rnacentral:rRNA from 1 species
AGACCCGAAACCCGGUGAUCUAGCCAUGGGCAGGUUGAAGGUUGGGUAACACUAACUGGAGGACCGAACCGACUAAUGUUGAAAAAUUAGCGGAUGACCUGUGGCUGGGGGUGAAAGGCCAAUCAAACCGGGAGAUAGCUGGUUCUCCCCGAAAGCUAUUUAGGUAGCGCCUCGUGAAUUCAUCUCCGGGGGUAGAGCACUGUUUCGGCUAGGGGGCCAUCCCGGCUUACCAACCCGAUGCAAACUGCGAAUACCGGAGAAUGUUAUCACGGGAGACACACGGCGGGUGCUAACGUCCGUCGUGAAGAGGGAAACAACCCAGACCGCCAGCUAAGGUCCCAAAGUCAUGGUUAAGUGGGAAACGAUGUGGGAAGGCCCAGACAGCCAGGAUGUUGGCUUAGAAGCAGCCAUCAUUUAAAGAAAGCGUAAUAGCUCACUGGUCGAGUCGGCCUGCGCGGAAGAUGUAACGGGGCUAAACCAUGCACCGAAGCUGCGGCAGCGACACUGUGUGUUGUUGGGUAGGGGAGCGUUCUGUAAGCCUGUGAAGGUGUGUCGUGAGGCAUGCUGGAGGUAUCAGAAGUGCGAAUGCUGACAUAAGUAACGAUAAAGCGGGUGAAAAGCCCGCUCGCCGGAAGACCAAGGGUUCCUGUCCAACGUUAAUCGGGGCAGGGUGAGUCGACCCCUAAGGCGAGGCCGAAAGGCGUAGUCGAUGGGAAACGGGUUAAUAUUCCCGUACUUGGUGUUACUGCGAAGGGGGGACGGAGAAGGCUAUGUUGGCCGGGCGACGGUUGUCCCGGUUUAAGCGUGUAGGCUGGUUUUCCAGGCAAAUCCGGAAAAUCAAGGCUGAGGCGUGACGACGAGGCACUACGGUGCUGAAGCAACAAAUGCCCUGCUUCCAGGAAAAGCCUCUAAGCAUCAGGUAACACGAAAUCGUACCCCAAACCGACACAGGUGGUCAGGUAGAGAAUACCAAGGCGCUUGAGAGAACUCGGGUGAAGGAACUAGGCAAAAUGGUGCCGUAACUUCGGGAGAAGGCACGCUGACA